UUCCCCACGACCGGUCGUCGCGGCCCCGGGGCACGGGCGGCUGCGUGUUAACCGCUCCCAUCCCGAAGCGGAUUGGGAACCGGGCGCCUCAGGUGUUCUAACUCCCUGUUGGGCGGAGCCGGGCACAAGUCCACUCGGCCGAGACGUGAGGUUUCUCUGAAGUAACACAUCAACCACGGACACACGGUUCGAGCCAGCGCGUUUCCCGCCCGCCUCCCGGGGCGCCGCGGGCCGGGCCGAACCCGGGCUGGGCCGCCGCCCCCCACCCCCCACCCCCCGGUGUCGGCCGUGAACCUCCUGGGGGCUGAGGACGCGGAGCCCGAGGGAAGAGGGGCCGGGAAUCUCCCAGGAGCAGCAAAACGACUGAGACGGAAAAAAGAUGAGAAGAUCCCUGGGCCCUCCGUUCGGUCCAGUGAGGACACAGCGAGAAGACGCGGUCCAUGAACCAGAACGGGGGCCCUCACCAGACACCGACUCUGUUGAUCUUGGAUUCCCAGCCUCCAGAACUGUGAGCACUCAAGCCCCCCGGUCUGUGGCAUCCGUUACAGCAGCCCAGAUGGACGACUCACCCCUGAGGUUGUCCGUCAGCCCUCCCAUCCCAUCCAUCACUCCUGGGCUCAGUCGUGCAGACUCCCCUCCUUGCUUCCUGCCUUACCUCACAUCCAGUCCUGCUGGUUUCUCCUUCAGCAUCUUUCAGAAACCAGCCACUUCCCACCAUCACCACUGCAACCAGGGGGCGGUGGGGAGGGUGCUGGGAAACCCUGGUCUCACACCCUGAUUACUAAAAUAGCCUCCUCCUGGCUUCCCUGCUUCCACCUCCCUGCCCCGUCAGUCUGUCCCCAGCACAGCAGCUGGGUGACCCAGUGACCACUCUUGUCACAUCCUAGCACCCUGGACUCUGGGGUCCCCCACCUGGCAGACGGGAGCAGUCAUCCUGAGGAAGAUGAAACUGGGGGAAUAACUGGAUUUCCCGCUGUGUACUCAGACAAGCUCUGAAGGAUGGGACAGCUUGAAGGAGGGAGGCACCUGUCUUCUGAAGAGACGGGCUCCUGGGAUCACCGCCGCUUUGGUCUCCCAUGGCCACGUGUGCGGUCAGGAGGGAGCGGCCCUGCGUGUAAAGUGCUGGGGCCGCCUGGCACGGCAGGCCCUAGAGCCGGGAGGCCACAGGAGAGACCCUGAGCAGGUGCUCGGUCGAGGAAGUGGAUGAAUGGGACGGCUUCUCCAGAAGGCAGAUAAGAGCACGGUGGCCUCCCCACCUGACAACUUGCCCUGAGGCC